rnacentral:sRNA from 1 species
GUGGGAUCGGAUCAGUUCAAAUCGGUUGAAUGGCGCUGUGGAUGGGUUGCAUUUGAAUCGGACAAUGAGGAGCGUAUUCCAAGCUUUUGGGUCCAACGGCUGAAGCAGAAACAUCGGCAGCACGCCAGCAAUAAUCUAUCACCUGUCAGCACCUGUCAUUCAAGCGUCGCAGCUGCGAUUGGCAGGCCCAACAUGCACCUACUGGAAGUCGGAAGGGGCAUCGCCAAGAGAUUGGUGCAUAAGCUGGGGGACUGGGAACUUGGAACCGAGGAUGAAGGACGGAGAAUGUAGAUGGAACAGCCAGAGAAACGAGCCGAGUUUGCCUCAAGUGUCAGUUUGACAUCAUUAAUCAUGCGAUUAGUUAAGUGGGUGUUCGCUCAUACGAUUUUGGCCGUGGACCGGCGUUUUUGGUGCGAUCUGCUGCCUGAAAUCAGUUCCGAGCUGUUUAAUUUGACGUUUGGACGCAUGAUUGCAUUCUCAAUUUGACAUCGACGGCGACAGCAUCGACAACGAACAUCGACGGAAGUUGAAGGCUUCCUCCGCCGUCGCUGUCAAAAUAAUCACACGUACAAUUAGCAUGACGACAUGCCCAUCAAUUUGUUUGCCCUGGACGAUUGCCAGGUAGACGAAUUGAUUGGUUUGCUAGGGAAAUUGGGCGUAAACGAUGGGAAAUCAGGAAGUUAAGAGAUUGUCAAUGAAUGGAAAAACUUAAGUAAAUGGGUAUUGUAACUUGUUUUCAUAAUUUAUGUUUUAUAAUAACAGAUUAAGAUUGAGUAUUGACAAAA